UACAGAGGUCUCAAGCGUUUGUUCGGAUUCAUUGGGGCGUAAAGGGUGGCGUAGGCGGCGCGGUAAGUCGGGGUGUGAAAUCUCGGGGGCUUAACUCCGAAACUGCAUUCGAUACUGCCGUGCUUGAGGACUGGAGAGGAGACUGGAAUUUACGGUGUAGCGGUGAAAUGCGUAGAUAUCGUAAGGAAGACCAGUGGCGAAGGCGGGUCUCUGGACAGUUCCUGACGCUGAGGCACGAAGGUCAGGGGAGCAAACGGGG
rnacentral:rRNA from 1 species